UACGUAGGGUGCAAGCGUUAAUCGGAAUUACUGGGCGUAAAGCGCACGUAGGCGGCUUGGUAUGUCGGGUGUGAAAUCCCCGGGCUCAACCUGGGAACUGCAUCCGAAACUGCCUUGCUCGAGUAUGGGAGAGGGAAGUGGAAUUUCCGGUGUAGCGGUGAAAUGCGUAGAUAUCGGAAGGAACAUCAGUGGCGAAGGCGACUUCCUGGACCAAUACCGACGCUCAGGUGCGAAAGCGUGGGGAGCAAACAGG
rnacentral:rRNA from 1 species